UACGUAGGGGGGCAAGCGUUGUCCGGAUUUAUUGGGCGUAAAGAGCGUGUAGGCGGCUAGAUAGGUCCGUUGUGAAAACUCGAGGCUCAACCUCGAGACGCCGGUGGAAACCGUGUGGCUAGAGUCCGGAAGAGGAGAGUGGAAUUCCCGGUGUAGUGGUGAAAUGCGUAGAUAUCGGGAGGAACACCAGUGGCGAAGGCGACUUCCUGGCCUGUUCUUGACGCUGAGGCGCGAAAGCUAGGGUAGCAAACGGG
rnacentral:rRNA from 1 species